GCCUAAAGCGUCCGUAGCCUGUUCUAUAAGUUUCCGGUUAAAUCCACUAGCUCAACUAGUGGGCUGCCGAAAAUACUGUAGAACUAGGGAGUGGGAGAGGUAGACGGUAUUCGGUAGGAAGGGGUAAAAUCCUUUGAUCUAUCGAGGACCACCUGUGGUGAAGGCGGUCUACCAGAACACGUUCGACGGUGAGGGAUGAAAGCUGGGGGAGCAAACCGGAUUAGAUACCCGGGUAGUCCCAGCCGUAAACGAUGCAGACUCGGUGAUGCCCUGGCUUGUGGCCAGUGCAGUGCCGCAGGGAAGCCGUUAAGUUUGCCGCCUGGGAAGUACGUACGCAAGUAUGAAACUUAAAGGAAUUGGCGGGGGAGCACCACAAGGGGUGAAGCCUGCGGUUCAAUUGGAGUCAACGCCAGAAAUCUUACCCGAAGAGACAGCAGAAUGAAGGUCAAGCUGGAGACUUUACCAGACAAGCUGAGAAGUGGUGCAUGGCCGUCGCCAGCUCGUGCCGUGAGAUGUCCUGUUAAGUCAGGUAACGAGCGAGAUCCCUGCCUCUAGUUGCCACCAUUACUCUCAGGAGUAGUGGGGCGAAUUAGCGGGACCGCCGCAGUUAAUGCGGAGGAAGGAAGGGGCCACGGCAGGUCAGUAUGCCCCGAA
rnacentral:rRNA from 1 species